UUCACGGAGAGUUUGAUCCUGGCUCAGGACAAACGCUGGCGGCGUGCCUAACACAUGCAAGUCGAGCGUGAAAGGAGCUUCGGCUCCGAGUAAAGCGGCGAACGGGUGAGUAAC
rnacentral:rRNA from 1 species